rnacentral:lncRNA from 1 species
CCGCCUCACCGCCCUACAUUAUUUGUUUCUUUGUGAUCUUGGAUUCGGCAAUCAUCGAUUAUUAUUAAUGGUCGCUAACUAACCUACUAACAUACUGCCGCUUUGGUUUUUCUUCCUAGUAUUCCUGAGAGAUUCGUGGAAACAUCUUCUGUGGAAUUGUGCCAACCACGAUGUCUUUGGGUUUUCUUCCUAGAGUCUUCGAGCAGGGUCUUUUGAUUAUCCGUGCUGUAACUACAACCACCGUGCUACAUUGGGUUAUCCUUCCGGAGUUGCCGAGUAGAUUCCUGAUUCACUUGUCCUGGGGGAGAGGUUCUCAUCAAAUUCGACCAUGACCUGAAUUGUGAGCUUUUUCGAUUAUCCUUACUGUAUUUAUUAUUUAAUUAAAUGUCGCUUUUUCA